GAAACUGUGAAAUUAACCCCCGUCCCACCCCUGAGUUAAUGGAAUGGAACUGGAAGCUCAGCGAAGCAGAAAGCCAGUGUCAUCAAUUUGCUUUCCAGUUACUCUCUGAGAACACAGCAGCGUCAGGAUUUCAGUCAUUGCGAACUCUCUGAAGUGCAGACACAAUGGAAUAACUGGUUCCUGCUUCGGGUCAAUAGCAGCUUCACAUUCCCUCCUUAUAAGCUGGCAGUGUACAAGAGACAAGGUGGGUGAGGUAAUAUCUUGUAUUGGAUCAACUUCUAUUGGGGAAAGAGACACACUUCUGAGAUACACAGAGCUCUUCUUCAGGAUAGUGUAUCAAACUUCUGGGCCAGAAACAACAGUGCUCUAGGGUCAAGUUGACCAGAUGUCCCCUCCCCCAUUUAAAAACUGGCGUGGGGUCAGAGUUUGCCCAUUUGCUCCUGGGUUAGAAUAUAUCAGCACUGCUGCGAUGUUACUCCAGAAGCCUUACAACAUGUCUUGAGCAGCUGCCUGGAGCCACGCAGAAACCCCAGAUCUCCUCACCAUCUGGAGACAAGCAUCAGUGCAGCACCGCACUAAAGAUCUUUUUGUGGACCUUGAUAAGCAGCUGUCUGCAUGUGAGGGGCUACAACUGCAACGCCGACCAGUUCCAGAUAAAGAGCAGACAGCUCAGAAGGAUUUACAUUAAAACCAGGGACGCCAGGAAACAGUGCAGUCAUGCACCUAUAACCUGUCCAUUUUUGGAGGAGCUGGAUAGGAUUUUGAUUAAAGACACUGUUACCGACACCCAUCCCUCCCACACAAGGAGGCCAGUGAAGAGCUUUCUCCAGAAAGCCAGGAUCUCUUUCCCCCAAUUCCAGCCAUGUAGGAAGCGAGCCCGAUUCCCAGCCAGAAACCCAGGCCAGGACUGAGGAGGCAAAUCCUAUGGAGGGAAGCUGGACAUGCAUUCUGCAGUCAUUAUCCUAAUAGAGCACCAGCCUCCUGAAACUUUAAAGGACAAGUUUGCUGUCAGCAGCUGCACAAUCUUGGAGGAGAGACGAAGACCUAAGGCAUGUCUGCCCAGUAAGAUAUAUAACCUACUGUGACUGAGCCUGGGGCAUGCUGCCACCCAUAUAGCCAUCACCAACUAACCCAGGAGCUGUCGUAUUACUUAAUAAGAGAUAUAACUGUACUGCUCAGAGCUUCUAUAGACCUUUUCAUCCUCAAAACCCUUUACAAGCCCACAGUCAGUCCUCAGCCCUCUGAGGUGUGAAAAAUCCAAAGCGUAGUGACACAAUACUAACAAUGAGCUAGAAAUGAAGGGUCAUUAAACCUUGGUAGUAUUCUAUUCAAAUAGAAGCCUCCUUGGACAAAGACGGCAGCAUACCAAGAAAGCCAGUCCACCCAGAUCCAUUCCUGACAGCACUUCCCUGGGACCUCCACACGCCUCGGAUGGGGACAGUCCGGAGUGGGCAGGCGGACAUCCUCG